CGGCGUGCCUAACACAUGCAAGUCGAACGGAGUAGAGACUUCGGGUUUUUACUUAGGUGGCGAACGGGUGAGUAACGCGUGAGGAACCUGCCUUUCAGUGGGGGACAACAGUUGGAAACGACUGCUAAUACCGCAUAACAUACUCGGGGGGACAUCCCCCUGGGUAUCAAAGCUUUAUGUGCUGAAAGAUGGGCCUCGCGUCUGAUUAGAUAGUUGGUGGGGUAACGGCCUACCAAGUCGACGAUCAGUAGCCGGACUGAGAGGUUGAACGGGCCACAUUGGGACUGAGAUACGGCCCAGACUCCUACGGGAGGCGAGCAGUCGGGAAUAUUGCGCAAUGGAGGAAACUCUGACGCAGUGACGCCGCGUAUAGGAAGAAGGUUUUCGGAUUGUAAACUAUUGUCGUUAGGGAAGAUACAAGACAGUACCUAAGGAGGAAGCCCCGGCUAACUAUGUG
rnacentral:rRNA from 1 species